rnacentral:rRNA from 1 species
GACGAACGCUGGCGGCGUGCCUAAUACAUGCAAGUAGAACGCAGUUGCGAACGGGUGAGUAACGCGUAGGUAACUGCCUCAUAGCGGGGGUUAACUAUUGGAAACGAUAGCUAAUACCCCAUACUGUGAGAUGGACCUGCGUUGUAUUAGCUAGUUGGUGGGGUAAAGGCUCACCAAGGCGACGAUACAUAGCCGACCUGAAAGGGAGAACCGCCAAAAUGGGACUUGGACAACGGCCAGAAUCCCACGGGGAGGAGGAGUAGGGAAUCUUCGGAAAAUGGCGGAAGUCUUGCCGAGCAACGCCGGGGGAGUGAAGGAGGUUUUCGGGUCGGAAAGGUCUGUUGAUAGGGAAGCGGUAACUAAACAGAAAGGAACGGCUAACUACGUGCCAGCCGCCGCGGUAAUAC